rnacentral:rRNA from 1 species
GAUCUUCGGACCUCGGGCUCUCACAUAAGCCUAGGUCGGAUUAGCUAGUAGGUGGGGUAAAGGCUCACCGGGGCGACUAUCCGUAACUGGUCUGAGAGGAUGAUCAUCCACACUGGAACUGAGACACGGUCCAGACUCCUACGGGAGGCACCAGUGGGGAAUAUUGGACAAUGGGCGAAAGCCUGAUCCAGCCAUGCCGCGUGUGUGAAGAAGGUCUUCGGAUUGUAAAGCACUUUAAGUUGGGAGGAAGGGCAGUAAGUUAAUACCUUGCUGUUUUGACGUUACCAACAGAAUAAGCACCGGCUAACUUCGUGCCAGCAGCCGCGGUAAUACGAAGGGUGCAAGCGUUAAUCGGAAUUACUGGGCGUAAAGCGCGCGUAGGUGGUUUGGUAAGAUGGAUGUGAAAUCCCCGGGCUCAACCUGGGAACUGCAUCCAUAACUGCCUGACUAGAGUACGGUAGAGGGUGGUGGAAUUUCCUGUGUAGCGGUGAAAUGCGUAGAUAUAGGAAGGAACACCAGUGGCGAAGCGACCACCUGGGACUGAUACUGACACUGAGGUGCGAAAGCGUGGGGAGCAAACAGGAUUAGAUACCCUGGUAGUCCACGCCCUAAACGAUGUCGACUAGCCGUUGGGAUCCUUGAGAUCUUAGUGGCGCAGCUAACGCGAUAAGUCGAUCCCCUGG